AAAGUCGUAACAAGGUUUUCGUAGGUGAACCUGCGGAAGGAUCAUUAGUGAAACAUUAGAGUGCUCUUUAUUGAGGCUCGUUUAACUAUCCAUUACACUUAGUGCACUUGAAACAAACCUUUCAAAAUUCUUGCUUUCGGGCUUGAACUUUGGUUGGAUUACACACAACCCCUUUGAAAUUAUAAGAGAUGAUGAUGUAUAACCUUGAAAUAUGAAAGAACAACUUUCAGCAACGGAUUUCUUGGCUCUC
rnacentral:misc_RNA from 1 species